GUGUGAACGUAGUCUAAAUGUGUGAAAUCAUGGAUACUACAGUGACAGAAUGAACUUUCUCGAACUGUUCUCUUCUCAUGCACUUAUUUGCUUAGCUGAACUGCCAAUCAGAGUGGUCUCUCUCACCAAUGAGGCCUGACCACCGACUUCAACACGUCAAAUCGUCUGAAAAGCUGCAGACAGGGACCAUCUAGUGCCAACGGUGUGGGACACACCAGGAGAAUGAGCUGACAGACGAGCUCUGACAGACAAUCUCUGACGGUCUGACGAUGGCUGACAGCCAACUGUUGGCUUGUUGUGUCUCUGCCCUAAGACAGACUCGUAAUCUCUGAGAUGGUAGAACAACUACACAGGUCACUGGCGUGGCUUUGGGAUCCUGUGGUUCCAACUACAAACGGCUGCUUUCAAACACAUUCUGAAAAACCAAUAAGAAAUAUUGUGAACACAACAGUGAAGAAGUGGAUUAUCCUGCAGCGUUUUGAGAAACGUUUACUUCAUUCCCACCAUGAUUCUGAUUCACAACUAUAAUCCAUUGCAGCUCAACAGCACAGAGACAGACUGCAAUAAUGAUGUCACCGAGACACAAGUCCUGGAGCGGCUCCAACAGUGAAUAAUGCAACAACUGCUGAGACGCUACGACAGCAGCCAUGCCACGUUAUCCUGUUCCCUGCCUCUCAAUCUCCCCCAUACCUCCCCAUCCACCAGUGGGAAAUCCCUUGAAGAUGGCAGUCCAUCAGUAAUGAUUUUCUGCUCAGCUGAGCGAUA